GCAUAAUGAUGAUGAAUUAGAAACUGUCCGAUUUUGUUAAUGACUGGAAUCUAAUACCUCCUACUCAUUCUGA